CUUUUGAAAACUACUGCAAUAUAAUUGAUGUUUGUAGUAGUAGAGGCCAAUAAUAACAUAAAUUAGCGUCACAUGUAAAACUUGUUUGUAUACGGUAAAAAUACUUAACUAUGUGUCAUAGGAAAGCGUGAGUGCGAGUGAGACGGUAAUGGAACAACGCAUGAGAGUUUCCUUGUUGUACUUCUGGACUAAUUCAUAUUUCUGAAGAGGACGUCAGUGCAGUCAAAAAAUAGAACUCCUGCUUUUUAUAUUUUUACACCUUGAUUUGGAGGAUGGAUAUAUUUCAACUUAUAUCUUUGAGAAGAUUAUUAUAUGACAGAAGGACUUAUAAAUUUAAGUGGAAGAAAAAUUAAUAAUGCAGUAAAAGGAAUAACCUAAUAAGGGAUUAGUACAUGAUGAACCUGUACACCAUUAUUUCGCCUGGGAUGAAACGUAUCCUGAAGAAUGUUAUUGUAAACAUUUCUGCUUAAAUUUUAACGAUGAUGGCAGUAGCAGUUAUAAAGAUUAAGAUUAAGAAUGUGAUUUUUUACGGCAGUGUUAUAUCCUAGUAUAUUAGUCAUUUUUUUCGUUUCUUUUAUUUUCUUUACUCUAUUUCAAUUUUUAUAUAAAAUCUGAGAAAAACAUUCUUUUUUUCGCUUUACAUCUUGUCUUUAUCAUUUUGUUGAUAAAGACUUGUUCAACAUAAAAUGGUGAGAAAUUAAAAUAUUGGUUUAAAUUAAACAGGAUAUUUUUCUCAAAUUUUCAAAUAUAAAAUAACUUAAGCUCAAAAAUAAUAAUAAAAUAAUAAUAAAAAAAUAAUAAUAAUUUUUAUGAAACAAAUAUUUAUUAAUUAUACUUCUGUUGCAAUGUUCUACGAAUGGGCCUUUGCUUAAGAAAUUCGCUGAAUUUUAAUAAAAAAAUUAAUUUCAACGUCCAAUCAAGAGAGUAAAAAAUUAUUAUUGCUAAUGUAAGCUGGUAAAAAGACGCCGGCACGGAGAAAUGGCUAUGCACACGCGAAAUUAAUACAAGAUAUAUUUAAGCACACUUUAUUAGUUUACAAUACAGUAAGUCAAGCUCUGUCUCGACACUCUCCAAACUCUCACUUAACUCUACUCUGCCGAAACCCCAAAAUUACUUCUUCACAAUAGCUCCCCCUAGGUCGUUGCUACUACCCCGUAGUAACGCCUACCAUAACUACUACCCCUAGUCAAUGAUGUGUCCGCCUUGCUCAUCUGGUCGUCAAUCGGUGGACGGCUUUUUACCCAAAAGCACGCCGUCUCUCUUCCAGAAGAUGCUUCACGGCUAUGUUGAUUGUUUCGGGUGGUAGUCCGUCCAUCACCCGAGUUAACUCCAAAAUCGCUGGAGUCAGCUCCAUAGUUUGGAUUUCCGCUGAUACCGCUUCCAUAACAGUGGACGGUGGAGCAUCAGGCCUCUGUCGCUUAUCCCUCUCUCUCUCCGUCUCUCACUACCCUUGUUGAAAUUCCUCCUUCGAUUAAAAAAAAAAAGAUAAUCAUUAGUUACGAUCACUGAUUACGCGGAGGAAGAUAUUGUUUAAGGUCAGAGAUGUGAAUUUUAGGGAUACAAAGACUCUCGCUAUCGUGAAAGACAAAAACCGUAGGUGAUAAAUUUUCCACGACCUCGAAAGGGCCUUCAUAUGUCGGUGCGAGUUUUGUUGCGAAAUUCCGUGUACCACUCGACAAUUUGUGUGUUUUACGGAGUAAUAAAUCACCGACGUUGAACAACUCCUCACGUCGAUUACGGUUAUAGUACUCUGUCUGUCGAUCACAUUUUCUGUUAAUAAAUUUCGCCACCAAGUCUCGCAACGGGUCUAACCACUUCACCCUGUCUACCUAAUCUUCUGGCACAAUUCUCUUAACCUGAUCUUGUUUUUCUACCUCCAGUCGCAAUCUUUUCACCGGUCGAGGAUGACUUCUGUAAUUUAAAAAUGCGGAAGACGUUUUAGUCGCCGCCUGUGUCGCAAUGUUCAUAGCAUCGCGAAAUUCAUAAACAUGAAGAUCCCAGUCGCAAUAAUCAUUCCCUAUGAAAGUCGCAAUCAUGGUCUUCAAUGUCCGGUUACUCCUCUUCACAGGAUUAGCUUGCGGAUGGUAGGGAGGUGUCGUGAUGUGUUUGACUCCGUAUUCCUGAUGGGUUUCCUUGAGGAAUUUGUUGUCAAAUUCCUUCCCAUUGUCUGUCAAUAAAAAGUCAGGGGUUUGCCAGCGGAAAAGGACCAAUUCUUCAAAUGCUUUGGCCAGACUUGGUCUGCUGUGCGAUGAUUCACUUCUCCCCCUUUUUCUAAUGGCUCCUUUACUUUGUUGGUCCUCUGAAAUUCCUAGGUCGCGAACCGCCCGUGAAUUUUUCUCCUCGUCGCUACUGGAAUAAAACUCACUUCCCCUUUGCAGAUUAAUAUUGGGCAAUAGUUCUUCAUUUGAUUCCGUGAAUGCCUAAAACCGAAAAAAUAUCUAAAUUCCCUUUAUCGUAAUCGUCGCAGAAGGGUACGUCAAUUUCCGAGGGAAGCGUGAGUUUUAACUCGGCCCGAAAAAGUCGCUCUAGCAAAACCUGUAACGAGCCACUAAUACUUAAUUGAUUAGCUAACAGGCUCGUUACCACUUGUCCUACUGGCAUCCCUAUGAUAACCCGCCAGAAUUAUUUCGUUUGUGGAAUUGUGGACAAGUGACGCAUCCUUUCCAUGUAAAAGUGCAUUCGUUCAAUAGCCUCUGCCAUUCUGAACGUCCGAAAAAUUUAAUUGUCGAGAAAUAAAAAAGAUAAUUUAAACUGCAGCAAAAUUAAAAUAUUUUUUAAUGAAAAUUAAUUUUUGGGAGCCCGCUCCCUAUUAGACACGGCACUGGUCACUUAAAAGAAAUUCCGUUUAUUAAUCGAGUCGCCACGAAGAAAAUCUUUCUUCCUUAAAAAUUUACACGCAAAAAUGUAAAUUAGUUUUUGAAGAGCCCUUCAGUGCGUUGACACGAUCCUGGUCAAUAAUUUUUAUACACUUGCUUGACUAGUCGGUAAGGAAGAUUUUUCUCCCUAAAAUUUUUCAUUUAUCUGGAACAAUCAUACAAAAAGCACAUAAUUACUUAUUGUAUUUCGGUUAAUCGAUUAUUAUUCCAUACGGUGAUAAUAGAGUAUUACAUUUAAGACUACUCCACCAAGAGUGAAGACAACUAUUUUAUAUUCGGCGCUAACUUCAAUCUAAUGAUUGGAGCGGCAAAAUUAAGGAAGCAUCAGAAAAUAAAUUGGUGAGAAACAAAAUUUGUAUCGUUCCAAAUAUGUAUAUUGUCAAUUCAUUUUUCAUUCAUUAAAAUUUGUUGUGUACCAUCAUCCAUGCAUUUAAAUAAAGGAAAACAGAUGUAAGAAAAUUAAGUAAAAUUUAAUUUAAUCGAAGCUAUACCAUUAACUCGGCUACCAAAAUGUUUAGUAAUUCGAUCAGUAUAAAUUUCGCGAGAGAUACUCAAUAUUUUAACUUGAGGGUAGAAUAAUUUAUAUACGAAAUCAUAUAUUUUAGGUAAUGGAGAGUUCGAUGCAAUUAAAGCAAAAAACAGUUGCUAAUUUUCCACGAACUCCUUAUUAUAAAUACAAAAAGAACGAGCUAUAAAAGUAUUAGAUUCUUCUUAUAAGAAUAGCUCGAACUCCAACUGAUUUUCAGGCGGACUUUAUACAACACAAUCUUACCUGCUUAUACAUACGUGCUAACUCACACAAAUAAAAAUUUGGCUAUGUGAUAUC